rnacentral:lncRNA from 1 species
GGUAUAGUGUAGUAGAAAAAGGCUUUGGAACAAGAUGGUCCUGGUAUUGAAUCAGAGGCUUUCUAACUCUGGGAAAGGAAUUUGUUCUCCAUGAGCCUGUUUCCUUAUCUUUAACUUGUCUCGUACAGUUGUUGUGAAAAUUAAACAACUUACAAAGUGCCUAGUAUAGUGUCUGAAACAUAACAUAGGUUCACAAAUGUAUUCUUAUUUAUUACUCUGCUAUUUUCACAUAUUAUUCUUCUGUACUACUUUUUUUACAUAGAAUACUCUCCUUUUUUUGUAAGUUUGUUAGAGUAGAGGAAAUUUCAGAAGAGAGGAAAGCUGUUAGUGGAUCUAUUCAACUCAAAACACAACUAAGGCCUGUGCCAAAGUCUUUGCUUUAUUGAUAUGCAGAUAUUGAAGUGUAGAUACUGUGAAGAAGGCAGCCAUAAUUUAAACUUUUGCCUGAAUAUUUGUUUUUCCAAUUGUACAAAGGUAAUCUCAGUAAUCAGAAAACCAUUUGAUCAGAUGGGAAUGAAAAUGUAAGAUAAAGCUCAUGACUGAAUUCUAGGUCAUUAAAUUAUAUACUUGCUGUGCCUCUCUGUAGGGAGAAAAGCAGACUACAAGGGUAGGAGGACUGAAUGAAAACAGAGACUUAGGCUGUCUCUAUGACACAGAGGCUCUGCAGCACUUUUGUUUUUUAGUAAGUGUCCUCUGAUAAUGAAAAGAUAUGUGGCUAAUCCAAAAUGUUUCAAACUGGGAAAUGUGCUAAUUACCAGAGCAGCUGGAAAAGCCAGGGAGCUGGAUUUAAUAUUGCCAGCCUGGUGUGAGGAAAAAAAGGUAGAGAUGGUUUUACAACAUGUUGAGAAACCGGAUUUAAGUUUCACACACAAAUCAGCCCAGGCCAACUUGGACCUGAAGGAAUUCAGCAGAAGGCAAACACUUAAGUAUCAUAAUGCUAAAGGAGUCACACUGUAUUUAGAAUAUUGAAUAGUCAUCUGCACAGGAAUUGUUAGCAAAAACUUUUAAAGCCAAAAACAUUUUAUCACAAUUAAAAAAAAAUUGUUUGACCAUUCAACCAGCCAUUUAACCAGACUAUUUUUCAUUGUUGAGACUGAU